rnacentral:rRNA from 1 species
AUGCCGGUUCUGCCCAACGUGAAGCCGGGAUACCUGCAGGACGAGCUUAGCGCGUCCCCGCCGACCCACUCCGCAUCAUUCGAUGUCACCAUGAAGGAGCUCAGGACCUCCGUUGUCCCCGGCAUGACACACUGGGCUAGCCCCAAUUUCUUCGCCUUCUUUCCCUCCACCAACAGCGCCGCUGCCAUCGCCGGCAACCUCAUCGCCUCUGCCAUGAACACUGUUGGAUUCACGUGGUAG